GGGUCAAUGAUGAAAUCUAUGCAUGGUCUCUAGAUAGAUGUUGUCUUAAAAGUCUUGGGUAAUAGACUUUCACUGAGGACC
rnacentral:snoRNA from 1 species